rnacentral:rRNA from 1 species
UCAGUCGACUCCUACGGGGAGGCAGCAGUGGGGAAUAUUGCACAAUGGGGGAAACCCUGAUGCAGCCAUGCCGCGUGUGUGAAGAAGGCCUUCGGGUUGUAAAGCACUUUCGGUAGGGAGGAAGGUAGUGUAGUUAACACCUGCACUAUUUGACGUUACCUACAGAAGAAGCACCGGCUAACUCCGUGCCAGCAGCCGCGGUAAUACGGAGGGUGCGAGCGUUAAUCGGAAUUACUGGGCGUAAAGCGCAUGCAGGCGGCCUGUUAAGUCAGAUGUGAAAGCCCGGGGCUUAACCUCGGAAUUGCAUUUGAAACUGGCAGGCUAGAGUCUUGUAGAGGGGGGUAGGAAUUUCAGGUGUAGCGGUGAAAUGCGUAGAGAUCUGAAGGAAUACCAGUGGCGAAGGCGGCCCCCUGGACAAAGACUGACGCUCAGAUGCGAAAGCGUGGGGAGCAAACAGGAUUAGAUACCCUGGUAG